rnacentral:misc_RNA from 1 species
AAGUCGUAACAAGGUUUCCGUAGGUGAACCUGCGGAAGGAUCAUUAUGGGUUUUGGUAUGAGUGAUUGUGAAUUGGUGUUUGCUGGGGGUGGAGUGUGAGGAAUGAUUUGAUUGGUUGGUUUGAUUGAGAUUGGACUGACAGAUCAGACAGGAAUUGCUACUACUACCAGGGCAGACACAAGUAACAAGAGCAAUUAUGGGAGAAAGUAGGUGCAAGUGCAGGGGUGAAGUGAAGCAGGGGUGCAUUCAUGCACACAAUGCAUACACGACACAACAACGUACAAGGCACAAACAUAACAACAAACAUACAACUUUUAACAAUGGAUCUCUAGGCUCUU